GGGUCCGUGGCGUAACGGCAGCGCACUCGGCUCUUGACCGAUGAGGCGAGGGUUCGAAUCCCUCCAGACCCA
rnacentral:tRNA from 1 species